rnacentral:rRNA from 1 species
CGUGCUAAUCUGCGAUAAGCGCCGGUAAGGUGAUAUGAACCGUUAUAACCGGCGAUUUCCGAAUGGGGAAACCCAGUGUGACUCGUCACACUAUCAUUAACUGAAUCCAUAGGUUAAUGAGGCGAACCGGGGGAACUGAAACAUCUAAGUACCCCGAGGAAAAGAAAUCAACCGAGAUUCCCCCAGUAGCGGCGAGCGAACGGGGAGGAGCCCAGAGCCUGAAUCAGCAUGUGUGUUAGUGGAAGCGUCUGGAAAGGCGCGCGAUACAGGGUGACAGCCCCGUACACAAAAGCGCAUGUGCUGUGAGCUCGAUGAGUAGGGCGGGACACGUGGUAUCCUGUCUGAAUAUGGGGGGACCAUCCUCCAAGGCUAAAUACUCCUGACUGACCGAUAGUGAACCAGUACCGUGAGGGAAAGGCGAAAAGAACCCCGGCGAGGGGAGUGAAAAAGAACCUGAAACCGUGUACGUACAAGCAGUGGGAGCCCCACCACUAAGCCAGUGGUGAACUCCACAUACGCAUCCUUUGCUGAGGAUACGGUUAACGGAGCGAAAGCGACGUUCAACCUCAAAAGAAGCAGAGGGGGCUUAGUGGUGGGGUGACUGCGUACCUUUUGUAUAAUGGGUCAGCGACUUAUAUUCUGUAGCAAGGUUAACCGUAUAGGGGAGCCGCAGGGAAACCGAGUCUUAACCGGGCGUUAAGUUGCAGGGUAUAGACCCGAAACCCGGUGAUCUAGCCAUGGGCAGGUUGAAGGUUGGGUAACACUAACUGGAGGACCGAACCGACUAAUGUUGAAAAAUUAGCGGAUGACCUGUGGCUGGGGGUGAAAGGCCAAUCAAACCGGGAGAUAGCUGGUUCUCCCCGAAAGCUAUUUAGGUAGCGCCUCGUGAACUCAUCUCCGGGGGUAGAGCACUGUUUCGGCUAGGGGGCCAUCCCGGCUUACCAACCCGAUGCAAACUGCGAAUACCGGAGAAUGUUAUCACGGGAGACACACGGCGGGUGCUAACGUCCGUCGUGAAGAGGGAAACAACCCAGACCGCCAGCUAAGGUCCCAAAGUCAUGGUUAAGUGGGAAACGAUGUGGGAAGGCCCAGACAGCCAGGAUGUUGGCUUAGAAGCAGCCAUCAUUUAAAGAAAGCGUAAUAGCUCACUGGUCGAGUCGGCCUGCGCGGAAGAUGUAACGGGGCUAAACCAUGCACCGAAGCUGCGGCAGCGAACGUAUCACCCAAGACAACUUUACGGAGUUAACGAUUGACGGAGCGAAGCGACGUCAAAGCGUUCAUUAAAGUCGAGUUGGCUUAGGGAUACGUU